CCCAGAGGUGGAGCCUACUGAGGCAGGCAGGCCUCCUUGAGCUGUGGUGGGCUCCACCCAGUUCGAGCUUCCUGGCUGCUUUGUUUACCUAAUCAAGCCUGGGCAAUGGCGGGCGCCCCUCCCCCAGCCUCGCUGCCGCCUUGCAGUUUGAUCUCAGACUGCUGUGCUAGCAAUCAGCGAGACUCCGUGGGCGUAGGACCCUCCGAGCCAGAAACAAGCCCUGGAAAAACAAAGAAUGGAACACCCCUCCGCUGACUUCAACCAACUGCCUGCUGAUGCGGCCUGACUCCCAGCCCUUUUUGCAGUUUUGAAGUGACAAACUGACUAGGCUACAAAGUAUUCAACCAUGGGCUGGUUCUGGCUGGUUCACCGAGGCUGUGUACAAAGUGUCUUCAUGUCCUGUGUUUCACCUUUUAACAUACAGAACCUAAUUUUACUGCAUUUUAAUGUUAAUUCUCCACUCGAAGGUGAACAUGGGAUGUAUGUAACACAUAUGUUUGCUUAUCAAGCACACAUAUGACCCCCUUUCAUGAAUAUUCAUAGUUCCCCCUGUGACCUGUUGAAUAUGUCUGUUUAGCCAACCUGUUUGGCAUAAAACUCCUAUCCCACCCUAUCUCCCUCAAAGUACCUGUUUGUGGUCUCAGCUGGAGGUGCCACUUCCCAGCCUGCAGUUUGCAACCCUUCUCAAGAAAUAAAG
rnacentral:lncRNA from 1 species